GGAGGCUCUGCGUGACUGUUUGCUGAAGUCUUCAUCUAGAGAUGACUACUGUUUGAUUCUGAGAUAGCAGAGACAGCCCAAAACCACUGACAUAAGCAGUUCCUGAGGGGUGCACCUUCCAGAAUUGAGAAGCUAUACAGAGAACUUCUGGCACUGGAACAGUCAGAAGAGAAGAAAACAUGCUGAUAUGAUUUAACUUCAGUCAUAACUCAUGCACCCAAAAUGUAACAAAACGAACAACGCCAAGAACAAACUAGCAGCUAUUGAUAAAAUUUGAAGGGAGUCUGAUGCAGUUCCAGAGGCAGGAAGCCAUGGGAUCAAAGGGAAUUAGGAUCUUCCCUGUAGUGACUGAAGUCACCAGGCUCAUGAAGAGAGACUAAAAGAAGAUGUAUGGGGACUCUCCUGUCUUUGUGGAGAAGAGCAAUGUGCUCUACAAAGCUGGGUGAACAGCCUACCCCAUCAGCACAGGAAAACCUGGGCUGGGAAGAGAAAUCCAAGCAGAAAAUUGCUUCAGCCAUGGCUGGCCUCAGAAGGUUAAUCACAGAGGCACAGGAGAAAUAUGGGCAAGAUCAAGUGGAAAUCUGAGGAGGUGGAUGCUGAACACACAGAUAAAAUCUCUGUACUACAUGUAAUCCUGUCUUUUCUCUGAUUUGCCUAGGAAUCAUCUUGCAGUGCCCCUCUGGUGGCGGCUAUGCCACAUGGAAGUGCUCAUGUUCAGCUGGUUCGUGUAAUUCAUCCUUCACUGUCUGUGUUAUUUCGCUUGUAGUUUUGUG